GCAGAAUUCAGUGAAUCAUCGAAUCUUUGAACGCACCUUGCGCCCCUUGGCAUUCCGAGGGGCACGCCUGUUUGAGUGUCGUGAAC
rnacentral:rRNA from 1 species